AGUGAACGCUGGCGGCAGGCCUAACACAUGCAAGUCGAACGACCACACAGUAAGCGUUUGCUCUUAAGGGUGGCGGCUGGCGGGUGGGUAAGGAGUGGAUAGCCAUCCUCUUUUUCGUGGGUAAUUUCGUAAGGCCGCAUCUGCUACUAGCGAAUAUGAUGUACGGGAUGAUUCAGGGGAUCAUCAGACCUUGGCUGUCUCAAUGAGCCGGUGUCGCAUUAGCUAGUUGGGUAGGUAACGGCCUACCAAGGCAACGAUGCGUAGCUGGUCUGAGAGGGUGAUCAGCCACACUGGAACUGAGACACGGUCCAGACUCCUACGGGAGGCAGCAGUGGGGAAUAUUGGGCAAUGGGCGAAAGCCUGAUCGAGCCAUGCCGCGUGAGUGAUGAAGGCCUUCGGGUUGUAAAGCCCUGUUGUUAGGAAAGAAAAACUGCGUAUGUAAACCCCGCUGUUCUGACGGUACCCAAAGAGUAAGCACCGGCUAACUUCGUG
rnacentral:rRNA from 1 species